UUUAGUCAAUUUGUUGGCCAGAUAGACAACUUAAGAGGAGGGUGAAUUAGAUUUUUCAAAAUUUAAAGACUAAUGUGUAUAGAAUUUAAACUAAAUAUAGCAGCAGAUAGGUGAGAGCAAUACAACAUAAGCAAGAUAUGAAGAUUCAAGGAAGAGCACUAUGAAAAAAUUAUCAAGGCACAUACAAACAUAAAUUUAUAGUGGUUCAGCAUCAAGUCCAACACUUAUGUUCACUCCCCAA
rnacentral:lncRNA from 1 species